rnacentral:rRNA from 1 species
UGAGGAAUAUUGGUCAAUGGGCGAGAGCCUGAACCAGCCAAGUAGCGUGCAGGAUGACGGCCCUAUGGGUUGUAAACUGCUUUUAUAUGGGAAUAAAGUGAGGGACGUGUCCCUUAUUGCAUGUACCAUACGAAUAAGGACCGGCUAAUUCCGUGCCAGCAGCCGCGGUAAUACGGAAGGUCCAGGCGUUAUCCGGAUUUAUUGGGUUUAAAGGGAGCGUAGGCCGCGUUUUAAGCGUGUUGUGAAAUGUAGACGCCCAACGUCUGCAUCGCAGCGCGAACUGGGACGCUUGAGUACGCGCAACGUUGGCGGAAUUCGUCGUGUAGCGGUGAAAUGCUUAGAUAUGACGAGGAACUCCGAUUGCGAAGGCAGCUGACGGGAGCGGCACUGACGCUUAAGCUCGAAGGUGCGGGUAUCAAACAGG